rnacentral:tRNA from 1 species
GCAUUGGUGGUUCAGUGGUAGAAUUCUCGCCUGCCACGCGGGACGCCCGGGUUCGAUUCCCAGCCAAUGCA